rnacentral:rRNA from 1 species
AUUGAACGCUGGCGGCAGGCCUUACACAUGCAAGUCGAACGAGUGGCGUACGUGUUGUUUAUGUCUGGGCACCUUCCUGGUGGAGGGGUAUAACUACUGGAACCUGUAGCCACUACCGCCUCCCAUCAGAUGUGCCCAGAUGGGAUUAGCUAGUGGGUGGGGUAACGGCUAACCACGACGACGAUCCCUAGCUGGUUUGCGAGGAUGACCAGCCACACUGGAACUGAGACACGGUCCAGACUCCUACGGGAGGCAGCAGUGGGGAAUAUUGGACAAUGGGCGAAAGCCUGAUGCAGCCAUGCCGCGUGUAUGAAGAAGGCCUUCGGGUUGUAAAGUACUUUCAGCGGGGAGGCGGUACCCGCAGAAUAAGCACCGGCUAACUCCGUGCCAGCAGCCGCGGUAAUUC